UACGUAGGGUGCGAGCGUUAAUCGGAAUUACUGGGCGUAAAGCGUGCGCAGGCGGUUUUGUAAGCCAGAUGUGAAAUCCCCGGGCUUAACCUGGGGAAUGGCAUUUGGGACUGCAAGGCUGGAGUGCGGCAGAGGAGACUGGAAUUCCUGGUGUAGCAGUGGAAUGCGUAGAGAUCCAGAAGAACACCGGAGGCGAAGCGGCUUGCUGGGCAUUGUCUGACGCUGGAGGCGCGAA
rnacentral:rRNA from 1 species